rnacentral:rRNA from 1 species
AUUGAACGCUGGCGGAAUGCUUUACACAUGCAAGUCGAGCGGCAGCGCGGGGCAACCUGGCGGCGAGCGGCGAACGGGUGAGUAAUACAUCGGAACGUACCCUGUUGUGGGGGAUAGCCCGGCGAAAGCCGGAUUAAUACCGCAUACGACCUGAGGGUGAAAGCGGGGGAUCGCAAGACCUCGCGCAAUUGGAGCGGCCGAUGGCGGAUUAGCUAGUUGGUAGGGUAAAGGCCUACCAAGGCGACGAUCCGUAGCGGGUCUGAGAGGACGGCCCGCCACACUGGAACUGAGACACGGUCCAGACUCCUACGGGAGGCAGCAGUGGGGAAUUUUGGACAAUGGGGGAAACCCUGAUUCAGCCAUUCCGCGUGAGUGAAGAAGGCCUUCGGGUUGUAAAGCUCUUUCGGCAGGAACGAAACGGUGGGUCCUAAUACGAUCUGCUAAUGACGGUACCUGAAGAAGAAGCACCGGCUAACUACGUGCCAGCCGCCGCGGUAACAC